CUCGUGAUCCGCCCACCUUGGCCUCCCAAAGUGUUGGGAUUACAGGCAUGAGCCACCGCACCCGGCCACAAGUGUCUGAACAUUUAUAAUAUGAAGGCUCUACAUCUGACCCAACUGCCCAACACACACAGCGCCGCAGGUGUCAGCACAGGUGUGCAGAAAGACACACAGACAGUGGACAGCCCCCAGGACAGGCUCCAACCAAGCACCCAGAGACAGCCAGCCAGCCCCUGACCUCUGGGACACUGCCCAGUGGGGAAUUAUCCCUGAUUUUCCAAGGACGGAACUGAAGGCCCUCCCGACUAAGAAGGAGACUUAAAGCGCCUUUUUCAGCGUGGAAGACAAGACUCGCGGGCGCUAAAGGCAAGCGCAGAGAGGGGAGGCGAUUUGCCUGAGGUCACACAGCAGGCAGGGGCAGACCCCAAUCCCCAGCAGCUCUUUCACUGCCCCUGCUGCCCCUCUCCGUCCCAGCCUUGGGCCCGGGGGCUUUCCGCCCAAGAGCCACACCCAAGUCACGGUAACCACAGCUACGCCGGCAACCCCCAACUU
rnacentral:lncRNA from 1 species